GAUGAACGCUGGCGGCGUGCUUAACACAUGCAAGUCGAACGGAAAGGCCCAAGCUUGCUUGGGUACUCGAGUGGCGAACGGGUGAGUAACACGUGGGUGAUCUGCCCUGCACUUCGGGAUAAGCCUGGGAAACUGGGUCUAAUACCGGAUAGGACCACAUUUUGGAUGGUGUGGUGGAAAGUUUUUCGGUGUGGGAUGAGCUCGCGGCCUAUCAGCUUGUUGGUGGGGUAAUGGCCUACCAAGGCGUCGACGGGUAGCCGGCCUGAGAGGGUGUACGGCCACAUUGGGGCUGAGAGACGGCCCAGACUCCUCCGCGAGGCAGCAGUGGGGAAUAUUGCACAAUGGGCGCGAGCCUGAGGCAGCGACGCCGCGUGGGGGAUGACGGCCUUCGGGUUGUAAACUCCUUUCGCUAGGGACGAAGCGUGUUUGUGACGGUACCUGGAGAAGAAGCACCGGCUAACUACGUG
rnacentral:rRNA from 1 species